rnacentral:rRNA from 1 species
UACGUAGGGUGCGAGCGUUGUCCGGAAUUAUUGGGCGUAAAGAGCUUGUAGGCGGUCUGUCGCGUCUGCUGUGAAAAUCCGGGGCUCAACCCCGGACUUGCAGUGGGUACGGGCAGACUAGAGUGUGGUAGGGGGAGACUGGAAUUCCUGGUGUAGCGGUGAAAUGCGCAGAUAUCAGGGAGGAACACCGAUGGCGAAGGCAGGUCUCUGGGC